rnacentral:rRNA from 1 species
CCCGCACAAGCGGUGGAGCAUGUGGUUUAAUUCGAUGAUACGCGAGGAACCUUACCUGGGCUCAAAUGUAUGUUGACGUAUUCUGAAAGGGAUACUUCUUCGGACAAUAUACAAGGUGCUGCAUGGUUGUCGUCAGCUCGUGCCGUGAGGUGUCGGGUUAAGUCCCAUAACGAGCGCAACCCCUAUCAUUAGUUGCCAUCAGGUCAAGCUGGGGACUCUAAUGAAACUGCCUACGCAAGUAGUGAGGAAGGUGGGGAUGACGUCAAGUCCUCAUGGCCCUUACGGGCUGGGCUACACACGUGCUACAAUGGUGGUGACAGUGGGCAGCGAGACCGCGAGGUCGAGCUAAUCUCCAAAAGCCAUCUCAGUUCGGAUUGCACUCUGCAACUCGAGUGCAUGAAGUUGGAAUCGCUAGUAAUCGCGGAUCAGCAUGCCGCGGCGAAUACGUUCCCGGGCCUU